rnacentral:rRNA from 1 species
GACGAACGCUGGCGGCGUGCUUAACACAUGCAAGUCGAACGGUGAAGCGAGUGCUUGCACUCGUGGAUCAGUGGCGAACGGGUGAGUAACACGUGAGUAACCUGCCCAUCACUCUGGGAUAAGCACUGGAAACGGUGUCUAAUACUGGAUACGACCAACCCUUGCAUGGGGUGUUGGUGGAAAGAUUUAUCGGUGAUGGAUGUACUCGCGGCCUAUCAGCUUGUUGGCGGGGUAAUGGCCCACCAAGGCGACGACGGGUAGCCGGCCUGAGAGGGUGACCGGCCACACUGGGACUGGGACACGGCCCAGACUCCUACGGGAGGCAGCAGUGGGGAUUAUUGCACAAUGGGCGAAAGCCUGAUGCAGCGGCUCCGCGUGAGGGAUGACGGCCUUCGGGUUAUAAACCUCUUUCAGCAGGGAAGAAGCGAGAGUGACGGUACCUGCAGAAGAAGCACCGGCUAACUACGUG